rnacentral:rRNA from 1 species
UACGUAGGGUGCGAGCGUUAAUCGGAAUUAUUGGGCGUAAAGCGCACGUAGGCGGCUUGGCAAGUCGGAUGUGAAAUCCCUCGGCUCAACCAAGGAAGUGCAUCCGAAACUGCUGAGCUUGAGUACGAAAGAGGAUCGCGGAAUUCCCGGUGUAGAGGUGAAAUUCGUAGAUAUCGGGAGGAACACCAGUGGCGAAGGCGGCGAUCUGGGUCGAUACUGACGCUGAGGUGCGAAAGCGUGGGGAGCAAACAGG